AUAUACGACCACAGGGUGUGGAAAAACACGGCUUCCCGUCCGCUCAGCUGUACUUAAGCUACACGCCGGGAUUAGUAGUUUGGGUGGGUGACCACCAGCGCAUCUCUUCUAUUGUAUGUC
rnacentral:rRNA from 1 species